rnacentral:rRNA from 1 species
AACGAACGCUGGCGGCAGGCUUAACACAUGCAAGUCGAACGGUUGUAGCAAUACAGCAGUGGCAGACGGGUGAGUAACACGUGGGAACCUUCCUAGGGGUACGGAACAACUCAGGGAAACUUGAGCUAAUACCGUAUACGUCCGUGAGGAGAAAGAUUUAUCGCCCUUAGACGGGCCCGCGUCGGAUUAGCUAGUUGGUGGGGUAACGGCCUACCAAGGCGACGAUCCGUAGCUGAUCUUAGAGGAUGAUCAGCCACACUGGGACUGAGACACGGCCCAGACUCCUACGGGAGGCAGCAGUGGGGAAUCUUGGACAAUGGGCGCAAGCCUGAUCCAGCCAUGCCGCGUGUGUGAAGGAGGCCUUCGGGUUGUAAAGCACUUUUGGCGGGAACGAAAGGGCCUGGGCUAAUACCCUGGGUUGAUGACGGUACCCGCAGAAUAAGCACCGGCUAA